UACGUAGGUGGCAAGCGUUGUCCGGAUUUAUUGGGUUUAAAGGGUGCGUAGGCGGUUCCAUAAGUCAGUGGUGAAAUACGGGAGCUCAACUGUCGAGGUGCCAUUGAUACUGCGGAACUUGAGUACUGAUGAGGUAGGCGGAAUUGACGGUGUAGCGGUGAAAUGCUUAGAUAUCGUCAAGAACACCGAUAGCGAAGGCAGCUUAACAAGCAGUAACUGACGCUGAGGCACGAAAGUGCGGGGAUCAAACAGG
rnacentral:rRNA from 1 species